rnacentral:rRNA from 1 species
AACGAACGCUGGCGGCAUGCCUAACACAUGCAAGUCGAACGAGACCUUCGGGUCUAGUGGCGCACGGGUGCGUAACGCGUGGGAACCUGCCCUUAGGUUCGGAAUAACUCCCCUAAAGGGGUGCUAAUACCGGAUAAUGUCUUCGGACCAAAGAUUUAUCGCCUUUGGAUGGGCCCGCGUUGGAUUAGCUAGUUGGUAGGGUAAAAGCAUACCAAGGCGACGAUCCAUAGCUGGUCUGAGAGGAGGAUCAGCCACACUGGGACUGAGACACGGCCCAGACUCCUACGGGAGGCAGCAGUGGGGAAUAUUGGACACUGGGCGAAAGCCUGAUCCAGCAAUGCCGCGUGAGUGAUGAAGGCCGUAGGGUUGUAAAGCUCUUUUACCCGGGAUGAUAAUGACAGUACCGGGAGAAUAAGCACCGGCUAACUACGUG